CUACGGGAGGCAGCAGUGAGGAAUAUUGCACAAUGGGGGGAACUCUGAUGCAGCAACGCCGCGUGGAGGAUGACGCAUUUCGGUGUGUAAACUCCUUUUAUAUGUCAAGAAAAUGACGGUAGCAUAUGAAUAAGCACCGGCUAACUCCGUGCCAGCAGCCGCGGUAAUACGGAGGGUGCAAGCGUUAGUCGGAAUCACUGGGCGUAAAGGACGCGUAGGCGGGUUGGAAAGUCAGGUGUGAAAUCCUACAGCUUAACUGUAGAACUGCACUUGAAACUUCUAAUCUAGAGUAUGGGAGGGGGAGAUGGAAUUAGUGGUGUAGGGGUAAAAUCCGUAGAUAUCACUAGGAAUACCUAAAGCGAAGGCGAUCUCCUGGAACAUUACUGACGCUAAGGCGUGAAAGCGUGGGGAGCAAACAGGAUUAGAUACCCGCGUAGUC
rnacentral:rRNA from 1 species